UCCAAACUUUAUUCACACUUCUCCAGUCGAAUGGUUUUCUUGUUCUCUGCAAUGUGCUUGCAGACAAAGUUGCAGUGAAGCUGGGAAGUAUUAUUAGCAAGUUUUAUUAUAGCAUCUCGCCUUGAAUGGCUGCAGUGAAGGAAUCCCCACUGGGUGACCCAGGGUGCAGAUGAGUAUAGAAGCUGUGUGAUUCAUUGUGCACAACACAGCAUGAAAUACUUGGAGCAAACCAUUUGUCUGAGGGAGAAAUGGGACUCAGUCUGUCUUCAGGGACCUGUGAUCCAGCUGACAUUUCCUUGGACUCUCAGGAGUCUUCCUUUCCUGUAGGGGCCGAUCCCAUUCCUGCUAACCAACAAGAGACCUGCUAAGCAACAGGACAUGUGGGAUGGGACAGGAGCGGGGAUUGGAGCUCCAGAGGAAGCUCUGGCUGCAGUGUGAGGACGAAACAGAGGCCAGCAGCUCUCCAGAGUCAAUUGGGUGCUACAGAGUUCAAAGAGCAGAGCCAAUGUUUGCAGAUGCAAAGCAGACCUGAUGUUGAUCCCAACCCUUCUAGAUCCUGGUCUGAUAUGAAAAAGAAAAUGAUUUUGUAGUCUUUCAAUUAAACACCUUAUCAAUGAUCUCAAAGCAUCUGCAGCGACUGAGUGCUAAGGAGGAGAAAUUCACUCUGCAUGAGAGAGAUCUUGCGGAGGAGCUUUCGGGAAGUCAUCUACCCUUGACUCAAAGAGAAACAGAGAAUCCAACUUUACUCCAGUUUAUUUUCUGCUUGAAACAUCUGUUGCGUUUUCCCCGUGCUCAUACUUGUAGACCACAAUCAAGUCACCCCUUCGCCUCAUUUCAAGCCGACAAAUUCCACCAACUUUUUAGCCUCCUACCAUAAACUCUUCCAGAUCUCAGAUCGCUCAUGUACCUUUCCAACCUGCCAGCACCUUUCUGAAGCGCGGAUAUGAAGUCAGGACAGAGCGUUCCUGGGGCAGCCCCACACUUUAGUGCACAAAAAUCAAACCAGGUCAUGGCUCCUCCUGUGCAUGCUUGGGACAUUCUGCACAGCAGCACGGUGUGGAGGGCUGACCUGACCUUUUCUGGUUAUUUCCCAUUGCUCCUGCAUCUUUCCAUCUGCCCUGUGAAGCAGAGAAUGGAGUCUUCCUCUUCUCAGAGGGAUUUUUGACCUCCCAGCUCCGUACACCGGAAUGAAAGGGAAGAAAAUGGCUGCCCUGCUCCUUGGACCACUUGGCUGGGGACCAACCCCAGGUUUAAGUUAGAGCCUCCAGGGAGACUCCCCAGCUGCAACAGCACAAAAAGGAUGGAGCUGGGAGCAAGGGUGGAGCCUGCAUUCCUCAAUCUAAAAAGAGACUUUUAGUCUCUUCCUCGCCUCCUUUUCUUUGAAAUGUCUCUCAAGAGAUGGUUAGAGAACAAAGGAAAGGAACGAAUAAAACACAUUAUCAGCAGCUUGCAUAAGUCUUACAGGGAAAGGUGGAAGUUCUCUCAUUUUUUUUUUUUCUCCCUUUCUUUUUCCUCCCUUCCCACAGUGACUCCCAGGGUUCUGGCUGCCUUGGUUCUCUCCCCUCGCAAUACUUUGCAGAUCUGCCCUCAGAGCUGCACGAGAUGCUGACUCCCUUCUCUGUGGGCCUUGCUGCUCAAUGGUUGACAUUUAUUAG
ensembl:lncRNA